ACUCCUACGGGAGGCAGCGGUGGGGAAUAUUGGACAAUGGGCGAAAGCCUGAUCCAGCCAUGCCGCGUGUGUGAAGAAGGUCUUCGGAUUGUAAAGCACUUUAAGUUGGGAGGAAGGGCAGUAAGUUAAUACCUUGCUGUUUUGACGUUGCCAACAGAAUAAGCACCGGCUAACUUCGUGCCAGCAGCCGCGGUAAUAC
rnacentral:rRNA from 1 species